AUUGAACGCUGGCGGCAGGCCUAACACAUGCAAGUCGAACGAGUGGCGGACGGGUGAGUAAUGUCUGGGAAACUGCCCGAUGGAGGGGGAUAACUACUGGAAACGGUAGCUAAUACCGCAUACCAUCGGAUGUGCCCAGAUGGGGUUGGAUAGUAGGUGGGGUAACGGCACACCUAGGCGACGAUCCCUAGCUGGUCGGAGAGGAGGACCAGCCACACUGGAACUGAGACACGGUCCAGACUCCUACGGGGGGCAGCAGUGGGGAAUAUUGCACAAUGGGGGCAAGCCUGAUGCAGACAUGCCGCGGGUAGGAGGAAGGCCUUCGGGUUGUAAAGUACUUUCAGCGGGGAGGCGUUACCCGCAGAAGAAGCACCGGCUAACUCCGUGCCAGCAGCCGCGGUAAUUC
rnacentral:rRNA from 1 species